rnacentral:sRNA from 1 species
CGGGCGAGUGGACGGAGGGCUUGCUGCCGCAGAGCCGUGCCUCUUCCCGGCCAGGCACGUGUGCCUGCGAGGAUAGCUCGGACUGAACGGCUACCUAGCGUUGCAGGGAGUUAGUAGCCCUUCAAAAUUCAUUUGCAAAUUGCCCGACAAAGGUAAAAAGAUCUUUGACUCUUUUGCCAAACUGAAAGCUGCCAUUGCAGAAUGUGAAGAAGUUAGAAGAAAAAGUGAACUGUGUCACCCUGUUAGUUUAGACUGUAAGCUAAGGCAAAAAGCAAUUGCAGAAGUUGAUGUGGGUACAGAUAAGGCCCAGAAUUCUGACCCGAUACUUGAUACUUCAUCACUAGUUCCUGGGUGUUCCUCUGUAGAUAACAUCAAGUCAUCUCAAACCUCACAAAACCAGGGACUUGGACGUCCUACUCUAGAAGGUGAUGAAGAGACUUCAGAGGUUGAGUACUCAGUGAAUAAGGGCCCAGCUUCCAGCAACAGAGACAGGGUACCACCUUCAUCUGAAGCUAGUGAGUAUCACCUGCAGCAUCGUGUUUCAAGUCAAGCAGAAGAUACUUCCAGCAGCUUUGACAACCUGUUUAUUGACAGGUUACAGAGGAUCACCAUUGCAGACCAAGGUGAACAACAGUCAGAAAACGCAAGUACUAAGAACUUGACAGGCCUUUCUAGUGGGACUCAGAAGAAACCUCAUUACAUGGAAGUGCUAGAAAUGCGAGCGAAAAACCCAGUGCCCC